UUCUACGGGAGUUCACAGGCAGUCCGUGGGGAUGGUCACAGGUAUUUUUCCCUCUCCACCCUGGUCUUCUCCUGUAACGUGUGGCCGCCUUUUCCAGCACGGCCUCCUGCCUUCCUGGUGCACUUUUUGGAGAACGUGGUGGAAUCAGAGGUUUCUGGCUGACUCGGUGGGUGCUUUGAACCAGGAAAGGACAAGAAAGAGGAUGGGAAGGACUGAUCCACAUUCCCACCAGGAAGUUUAGCAGAACCCCCGCGUGCCACCUGGACCCCUUGGAAGGACCUGGCUCAGGCUGGACCACCUCUUGAGAGGCAGGAGCUCUGGAUUUGAUCAAGAAUUCUUUGCUGAGCAUGGUGCCUCAUGCCUAUAAUCCCAACACUUUGGGAGGCCAGUGUGGGAGGAUCUCUUGAGCCCAGGAGUUCAAGACUAGCCUGGGCAACACAGAGAGACCCCAUCUCUAAAAUAAUAAUAAUAAUAAAAUAAAAAAUUAGCAGGGCAUGGUGGCAUGUGCCUGUAGUCCCAGCUACCCAGGAGGCUGAGGCAAGAGGAUGGCUGGAGCCUGGGAUGUUGAGGCUGCAAUGAACUGUGAUUACCCCACUGCACUCCAGCCUGGGCAAAAGAGCGAGAGACCCUGUCUCAAAUAAUAAUAAUAAUAAUAAUCUUAUUUUGGAGAAUAAAGAGACCUCUGGAUUUGAGGUGCCAUUUGGGUAGAAAGAAAAGACGUUUACACCGAGAAAUAGUCUGUGUUGCCCUGAAGGAGCAGAGGGAUGCAUCGCUGGAGGUGACCUACAGUUGAAGAAGACUCAUUAUGACAGACCUUGUCCUUCUUCCUUGUGGAAAGUGUUUCCUCUGCUGCUACUGCUCAUGAGACUCUUCCCCCUCCCUGUCCCAGGGAACCAAAGGGCUUUCUACCACACCCUUUCUUGCCCCCCGCCUCCCAUGUCUGCUGUGCCUUUGUACUCAGCAAUUCUUGUUUGCUCCAUUAUCUUCCAGCCGGAUACAGAGUGAAUAGUUAACCACACUUAGGUCAAAUAGGAUCUAAAUUUUUGUUCCUGCUCCGUGUAAAGAGGCCAGUGUUUGUGUGUUGCAAGCAGCCUUGGAAUAGUAACUCUUCUCAUUUGUUUGGGAUCUGGCCACCAAGUUCCAGAAUGAUACACGGAUCAGUGCAGAAGUUCAUCAGGCUCUCGGACCUUAGGGCUGUUGGAGAAGGCUUCAGCAGCAGAACUGAUGGUGAAGGCUCGUGUUCUCCAUCCUCAACUUUCUUUGCUUCGAUCAUACACAAGAAUACAUUUGGAAGGGCAAAAAAUGAACACUGUCGUUCAUUGCAGCCGUGUUUUGUGACACAGAUGCACAGUCUGCUGUGAAGACCUUCUCUCAAGUGGCAUUUGGGAGUCCAUGCCAGAUCAUGGUGCUUCAUGAGAGACUGACAGCUAUCAGGGGUUGUGGCACUUAGUGAGGACUCUCCUCCCCCAGUGUGUGCUGAUGACACAUACACACCUGACAAUAGCUUGAGUCUUCUCUGUUCCUUUUACUCUGUAGCCAACAUACACAUGAUUUAAAACCCUUUCUAAAUAUCUAUCAUGGUUCAUCCUUGUCCAAAUGCAGAGUCAGAGCUAUUUGUACUUCAUUAUUAUUUCCAAGGCGAAUAGU
ensembl:lncRNA LINC00511 long intergenic non-protein coding RNA 511